rnacentral:tRNA from 1 species
GGAUGAUCCUCAGUGGUCUGGGGUGCAGGCUUCAAACCUGUAGCUGUCUGGCGACAGAGUGGUUCAAUUCCACCUUCC